CCAAAACCAGUAGUACAAGUCAUAAGCUUUUUCUAAGAGUUAUACACAAUAAGUACAUCACUGUUCCGAACAAAAGGAACAUAUGGAAAUAAGUACAAUUGAAGGUGACUCCGAGGGCCACGAAGGCUGCAGCAGGUUUAUCUCGAGUCUCCACUGCAACGAACAACUACUAUUGAUCAAAUACCUGGAUCUGUACACAAAAAUAUACAAAAGUAUAAUAUCAGCACAACCGACCCCAUGUGCUGGUAAGUGCCUAGCCUAACCUCGGCGAAGUAGUGACGAGGCUAGAACCAGACUACCGAAUAAACCUGUGCCAUAUAGCGUACAAAAAAUAAUAGGAAGCAGGUAACAACGAUGGAAACAAUGAUCAACCAGUGAGAUAAAUAGCAGGCAACAAGAACACCAUAAAUGUUUCUCAACAAAUAAUAAAUACAAGUGUAAUCAAUUAAUCAAGUCCUUCAAAUAUAAAUCUUUCGCCUAUAAAUCCUUCCAGUAAUAAUCUCUAAGAUAAUAUGUUUUUCAAUAAAUAUAUUUUGAAUAUAUUUCCUUCAAAUAGAUAUCUUUCAGAUAAGCAUAUUUCGGAUAUAAUUCUUUCGAAUAAAGGUCACCUUGUGACACCUCAUUUCAUAAUCAUAAAUAAUAUAGGUCUCAGCCCACUUUCGAAAUUUCACAGCACCUCGUACCCACAUUUAUGUUACAACCGCACGGACAGCUCACUUGCCAUUAAAUAAAACCAUAAUAUUUCCCCGGCACCUUGUGCCCACAUAUUUUUGUCUCACAUUGCACAACAAUAUUCUCAUGUUACUCAGCUCAUAGGUUCCAUAACCCAAUACAAUUAAGAAUGUUCAAGGAGCCUCAUUCACUUAACAUAAAGUAGAGUACAACUUCCAACCCAAUUAGGAAAUCAACAAGAAAAGAUGAAGUUAUUUUUAUAAAUCAUUUGAUAAAGAAAAUACCAUUUUCAAUUAAAGUACAAUAUCGAAGGAAUCAUUACCUUAACACAAAAAAUUAAUAAAUCAAAACAUAGUAGAAAUUCCUUUUUAAGUAAAGUACAACCUCAAAUGGUUUAAGGAAACUUUAGUCGAGAAAUCAAUUGAGCUAAGAAUGUAACAAUUCUUGAAAUUUGAACUAUUGAACAUAUUAAAAUAAUAAGGUGAAGUAUUGUAAACACUAUGGAUUCCAACACAAAGGACUACAACAGUAAAGUGAUCUAAACAGUUAAUACACUUGAAUUGUUAGUAACAAGUAAACACAGCAAACAGAAAGUACACGUCAUCACCCUUCGUGCUUUAACACUCUCUCACCAAAACAAUACACGGCAUCACCCUUCGUGCUUUAACACUCUCUCACCAAAAUAAUACACGGCAUCACUCUUCGUGUUUUACACUCUUUCUNACCCANGCANNNNNNNNNNNNNGUGCUUUAUCACCCUUUCCUCACCAUAUCAAACAACAAUCACAGAAGAGGGGCAAGGAAGUAAACUGGAUAAUAAUCGGGAUUCCAAUAAGGGCACAGCAAUUAACAAUAAAAUCCCUGGCAAUGAAUAUAUCAACAAUUUCACAAUUAUCUCGGCAAGGGAAUAAUUCAAUAAUUCUUUCUCUUUCUUUCUUUUCUUACUUAGUAAUUCAUUUUAUAACUUGAGCCAACGCUCCUCAAAUAUUAAAUAUCACCUUUGCUUUCACAUGCCCUUCACAACAUAUAGAAGUCAUCAUUUAAUCAUGGAAGAUAUAACAAAAUUCGAAUAUUCGCGAUAUAAGGACUUACGGUCAUGCUAGACACCAACGUAUAUAUACUCGUCACCAUGCCUAUACGUUGUACUCGACAAAUAGCAAGUAGCAAUUAAGACUCAACUCCUAUUCCCUCAAGCUAAGGUUAGACCAAACACUUACCUCGAACUUCCACGGCCAACUCAAGCCUUUGCCUCGCGAAUUCAUGUCCGAAAUUCUCAAAUCUAGUCAUAAACAAUUUGAUUCAGUCAAUAAAAAUUAUAAGAAUUAAUUACAUAUGAAUUUCUACAUUUUCCAUUAAAAUCCGAAAUUUAACUCAAAAUUGCCCAUGGGGCCCACGUCUCAGAAUCCGAUGAAAGUAGCAGAAUAUGAACACCCAUUCAACCACGAGUCCAACCAUACCAAAAUUCUCCAAUUCUGAUACCAUUUGGUCCUUCAAAUCAUCAUUUUACAUUUUUGAAAGGNNNNNNNNNNNNNNNNNNNNNNNNNNNNNNNNNNNNNNNNNNNNNNNNNNNNNNNNNNNNNNNNNNNNNNNNNNNNNNNNNNNNNNNNNNNNNNNNNNNNNNNNNNNNNNNNNNNNNNNNNNNNNNNNNNNNNNNNNNNNNNNNNNNNNNNNNNCCAAAUCUGAGUUAGAAUCACUUACCCCGACCAAUUUCUUGAAAAACCUUCGAAAAAUCUCAAAAAUCCGAGCUCUUUAGGUUAAAAUAUCAAAUAAAACCCAAAAUCUCGUAUUUAUAGAGUACCCCUCGGAUUCCAACACCGCUGACCGCAUAAAAAUGACCGGGGUCCGCGCAAAACCAGCCGGGUCCGCGCAGGCCUUGCUCUGUAGGGACAGGCUUUAGUAAUUUGGCCAUAACCUUUUCUACAAAUAUCCGAAUUGCGAUAUUUUUACCUUUCUAGAAACUAGACACAAAGAUCUACAACUUUCGUUUUUGCAUCACCUCAAAUUUCCUUGAAGAUAAAAAAUAUGAGUUUCCAAAUUAGGACCAGUAACCUGCAGUCUUCAGUGACCGCGGUCAGCGCUAGGCCAGCACGCCUAGCGCGAAAAAGAGCGUGGUCCGUGCCACAACAGUUGCCCCCUCCAUUUUCUAAGUUCCGGGGUAUCCGUACUCGCUCAAAACUCACCCGAAACACACCCGAGGCCCCCAGGACCUCAACCAAAAGCACUAACGCACCCUAAACAUUAUUCAACCUCGUUCCAAUCAUCAAAACACCUCGACUAACACCAAAAAUCAUCAAAUCACAUCGAAGAAAAUCACACCAACGCCUUUAUUCAUUUUUUUGAAGAAAAUUGCAACGUUAUUAAAACACGUCUCAAACCACGUCACAUAAAUACACUCGUGGUUUUUGACAUAUCUUAACAUCGUUGAGAUUUGGAUUUGGGUCACAUAAAUACGCACCCAAAUUUAGGAAGGUAAUAUUAUUAAAUGACGCGACUAAAGCAACUACGCGUUUUAUGAAUAUUAAAGGCCUAAGCAUGCUCCUAAGGAUCCAAAACCACAUCCAUAAGCAAGGUCUAAACAACGUACAACUCCAAUCCUUAAAAAAUUCAAUUGACAUCGUUACUCAAUCCCAAUAUCACUUUAGUCUAAUCCACUUUCAUUUUUAGCCCACAAAUCACACAACCUAUUACUUCUCGUCAAUUUUCCAACUUAUAUUCUUGCAUCUUAAUUUCGAAACAUCUUCUUUUACCAAAAGAGUGUCUUAAUACUUGAUUCACCUUCAUGUUAUCAACUACAUGGAGCAAUUGCUCAAAACACAGUAAACUCUGCUAAGGUUACACAACAUAUCAACCACAAACUAUUUAAUUCAAACUCAGACAAUUUACACAAAAUUAAGUAUAUAAACACAGAAUCGUACCAAGAGCAAAGUAAAGAGCAUCAGCUCACAUAAUCAGUCAAAUAAAAUUAUGAGCAGACAAGGUCGCUAAAAUUGGAAAAUGUAGGGACAUGGACCUCAAGACAGAAACGAACAAAGCUAAAAUGAAAAUUCAUCCAAAAGCUCAAAUCAUCACAAAUUCAUGUUUUACUCAGUUCUUAAUUUUCACCUUUUCGAACUCGGCGAAGACGUAUUCAAUAAAAUGAAGAGUGUCCAUUGACUGUCAUUAAUCAGUGAAAUUCCAAAAUAGUAAUCGAUUACUUAUUCAGUUUCAGCAACUAGGCUCGACAUAAUUACUGGAACAAAGCAGCCAUUUGAUAGUCACAUAUCAACGGAUCCACAUGAUAACACCAAAACGGAGCAAGAAAAACGGAGGGACGAGACUAACCUGAAACAAUCUUCAAAAAGAAAUUUCAGAAUCGAAAAUAACCUCGCCUCAAUCUCAAUACCCAAAUCGUAAACUCAGUCGGACUGAACAGUGGAAAUUCCGAACUCUACGGCCUCUCAAUUAGUUUCCACGAAAGAAUGGUCAAAACACGACUGAAUCUCUUUUUAUGAUUUUUGAAUUAAAUUAAACUAAAAAACAAACCGAAACCAAAGAUGGAAAACCAAAAUCAGAAGAUUAAUUAAGGUUGAAUUAAGUGUGAAGAGGGUGAGGAACGGCUGAUUUUUUGGGGGUGCUAAACAGUGGUGAUUUGCAGCACUGGUUCAGGGAGGUUAAAGAUGAGGGGGUGUCGCCGGUUUCCUACCACUCGCCGGUGAGGCAGUAGCGGAACGAAGGGGUAAGGCGUGGGGUCUUCUGGUUCGCCGGUUUUGUUGCUAAUGGCCUCGCUAGUCCUUUGAAGAAGAAGAGAGAGACGAUGGGGUAGUGUUCUUUUGGUUAAAGAUGGCUGAUGAUGAAGGAUGAGGUCAAGGGGGCGGGGGGUCUGUGAAGAAGACGAUCUGAAGGGGGAGGGGUCAUGUAUUUGCUGCGCAGCUUUUG
rnacentral:lncRNA from 1 species